UACGUAGGGGGCAAGCGUUGUCCGGAAUCACUGGGCGUAAAGGGCGCGUAGGCGGCUCGGUAAGUAGGGGGUGAAAUCCUGCGGCUUAACCGCAGGGCUGCCUUCUAAACUGUCGAGCUCGAGCACGGUAGAGGCAGAUGGAAUUCCCGGUGUAGCGGUGGAAUGCGUAGAGAUCGGGAAGAACAUCAGUGGCGAAGGCGGUCUGCUGGGCCGUUGCUGACGCUGAGGCGCGACAGCGUGGGGAGCAAACAGG
rnacentral:rRNA from 1 species